UACGGAGGAUCCGAGCGUUAUCCGGAUUUAUUGGGUUUAAAGGGUGCGCAGGCGGGAGAUUAAGUCGGCGGUGAAAUUUUGCAGCUCAACUGUAAAAGUGCCUUCGAAACUGGUUUCCUUGAGUGUAGAUGAAGUAGGCGGAAUUUGUGGUGUAUCGGUGAAAUGCAUAGAUAUCACGAGGAACUCCGAUUGCGCAGGCAGCUUACUAAACUACUACUGACGCUCAGGCACGAAGGCGUGGGGAUCAGACAGGAUUAGAUACCCU
rnacentral:rRNA from 1 species